GAAGUAAAAGUCGUAACAAGGUCUCCGUUGGUGAACCAGCGGAGGGAUCAUUGCUGGAAAGGGCGCAAGCCCCCACCAGAAACCCACUGUGAACAUACCUGUCGUCGUUGCCUCGGCGGUGCCGGGCGCCCCAACCCCCCCGGGGGGCGGGGCCCCCCAGCGGCUUCGGCUCGCUGGAGCAGCCCGCCGGCGGCCCUACAAACUCUUGUUUUUAACCGUCUCUCUGAGCAAACUUACAAAUAAGUAAAAACUUUCAACAACGGAUCUCUUGGUUCUGGCAUCGAUGAAGAACGCAGCGAAAUGCGAUAAGUAAUGUGAAUUGCAGAAUUCAGUGAAUCAUCGAAUCUUUGAACGCACAUUGCGCCCUCUGGUAUUCUAGAGGGCAUGCCUGUUCGAGCGUCAUUUCAACCCUCAAGCGCACUUGCUUGGUGUUGGGGCACUACCCGACCGCCCCGGCGGCGGUAGGCCCCCAAAGACAGCGGCGAGCUCGCCAGUUCCCCGAGCGCAGUAGUUUUACCACCUCGCUCCGGGCGGACUGGCGCGGCCCUGCCGUAAAACCCCCCAAAACAUCAAAAGGUUGACCUCGGAUCAGGUAGGAAUACCCGCUGAACUUAAGCAU
rnacentral:rRNA from 1 species